AGUGAACGCUGGCGGUAGGCCUAACACAUGCAAGUCGAACGGCAGCACAGUAAGAGCUUGCUCUUACGGGUGGCGAGUGGCGGACGGGUGAGGAAUACAUCGGAAUCUACUUUUUCGUGGGGGAUAACGUAGGGAAACUUACGCUAAUACCGCAUACGACCUACGGGUGAAAGCAGGGGAUCUUCGGACCUUGCGCGAUUGAAUGAGCCGAUGUCGGAUUAGCUAGUUGGCGGGGUAAAGGCCCACCAAGGCGACGAUCCGUAGCUGGUCUGAGAGGAUGAUCAGCCACACUGGAACUGAGACACGGUCCAGACUCCUACGGGAGCAGCAGUGGGGAAUAUUGGACAAUGGGCGCAAGCCUGAUCCAGCCAUACCGCGUGGGUGAAGAAGGCCUUCGGGUUGUAAAGCCCUUUUGUUGGGAAAGAAAAGCAGCAGGUUAAUACCCCGCUGUUCUGACGGUACCCAAAGAAUAAGCACCGGCUAACUUCGUG
rnacentral:rRNA from 1 species